rnacentral:rRNA from 1 species
GACGAACGCUGGCGGCGCGCCUAAUACAUGCAAGUAGAACGCACAGUUUAUACCGUAGCUUGCUACACCAUAGACUGUGAGUUGCGAACGGGUGAGUAACGCGUAGGUAACCUGCCUGGUAGCGGGGGAUAACUAUUGGAAACGAUAGCUAAUACCGCAUAAUAUUGAUUAUUGCAUGAUAAUUGAUUGAAAGAUGCUAUUGCAUCACUACCAGAUGGACCUGCGUUGUAUUAGCUAGUAGGUGAGGUAACGGCUCACCUAGGCGACGAUACAUAGCCGACCUGAGAGGGUGAUCGGCCACACUGGGACUGAGACACGGCCCAGACUCCUACGGGAGGCAUCAGUAGGGAAUCUUCGGCAAUGGACGAAAGUCUGACCGAGCAACGCCGCGUGAGUGAAGAAGGUUUUCGGAUCGUAAAGCUCUGUUGUAAGAGAAGAACGGGUGUGAGAGUGGAAAGUUCACACUGUGACGGUAUCUUACCAGAAAGGGACGGCUAACUACGUG